AGCUAACGCGUUAAGUAUGCCGCCUGGGAAGUCCGGUCGCAAGAUUAAAACUCAAAGAAAUUGACGGGGACCCGCACAAGCGGUGGAGUAUGUGGCUUAAUUCGAUGCCACGCGAAGAACCUUACCUAGGCUUGACAUGUAUUCGUAGCUGCGAAAGCAGUGAGCCUUUCGGCACUUUACACAGGUGCUGCAUGGCCGUCGUCAGCUCGUGUCGUGAGAUGUUUCGUAAUGUCGGGCAACGAGCGCAACCCCUGUAAUAGUUACCAGCACGUUAUGGUGGGGACUCUAUUCAGACUGCCCAGAUCAACUGGGAGGAAGGUGGGGAUGACGUCAGGUCAGUAUGGCCCUUACGCCUAGGGCUGCACACGUACUACAAUGCUCAGUACAAUGAGAACCGAUACCGCGAGGUGGAGGAAAUCUACAAAACUGGGCUCAGUUCGGAUUGAAGGCUGCAACUCGCCUCCAUGAAGUCGGAAUCGCUAGUAAUGGCACAUCAGCUACGGUGCCGUGAAUACGUUCCCGGGUCUUGUACACACCGCCCGUCACAUCAUGGAAGCCGAUCGCACCCGAAGUACCUGCGUCAGGUACCCGUA
rnacentral:rRNA from 1 species